UACGGAGGGGGCUAGCGUUGUUCGGAAUUACUGGGCGUAAAGCGCACGUAGGCGGCUUUGUAACUUAGAGGUGAAAGCCCAGGGCUUAACCCUGGAAUUGCCUUUAAGACUGCAUCGCUAGAAUCGUGGAGAGGUGAGUGGAAUUCCGAGUGUAGAGGUGAAAUUCGUAGAUAUUCGGAAGAACACCAGUGGCGAAGGCGACUCACUGGACACGUAUUGACGCUGAGGUGCGAAAGCGUGGGGAGCAAACAGG
rnacentral:rRNA from 1 species